AACGAACGCUGGCGGCACGUUUUAAGCAUGCAAGUCGAACGGCAGUGGGGGCAACCCCAUGAGAGUGGCGAACGGGUGAGUAACACGUAGGUGAUCUGCCUUUGGGUUGGGGAUAGCUUGUGGAAACACAGGGUAAUACCGAAUGAGCUGACGAGGCUUUGGCCAUGUUAGUGAAGGUGCUACGGCACCGCCUAGAGAGGAGCCUGCGGCUGAUUAGCUAGUUGGUGGGGUAAAGGCCGACCAAGGCGACGAUCAGUAGCCGGCCUGAGAGGGGGUACGGCCACACUGGAACUGAGACACGGUCCAGACUCCUACGGGAGGCAGCAGCUAAGAAUCUUCCGCAAUGGGCGAAAGCCUGACGGAGCGAUGCCGCGUGAUCGAUGAAGGUCGAGAGAUUGUAAAGAUCUUUUUCAACUGAGGAAUAAGUGGACCAGGGAAUGGGUUCAUGAUGACGUUAAGUUGGGAAUAAGCCCCGGCUAAUUACGUGCCAGCAGCCGCAGUAA
rnacentral:rRNA from 1 species